rnacentral:piRNA from 1 species
CAGAAAGACAGAGUCACUGAACAGUGAUGCC